rnacentral:tRNA from 1 species
GGGGGUAUAGCUCAGUGGUAGAGCAUUUGACUGCAGAUCAAGAGGCCCCCGGUUCAAAUCCGGGUGCCCCUCUCA